rnacentral:rRNA from 1 species
UACGUAGGUGGCAAGCGUUGUCCGGAAUUAUUGGGCGUAAAGAGCUCGUAGGCGGUUCGUCGCGUCGGCUGUGAAAUCCCGGAGCUCAACUCCGGGUCUGCAGUCGAUACGGGCGGACUUGAGUACUGCAGGGGAGACUGGAAUUCCUGGUGUAGCGGUGAAAUGCGCAGAUAUCAGGAGGAACACCGGUGGCGAAGGCGGAUCUCUGGGCCAUUACUGACGCUGAGGAGCGAAAGCGUGGGGAGCGAACAGG